rnacentral:rRNA from 1 species
UACGUAGGGUGCGAGCGUUGUUCGGAAUCACUGGGCGUAAAGCGCGUGUAGGCGGUUUGGAAAGUCAGGUGUGAAAUCCCAUGGCUCAACCAUGGAAGUGCAUUUGAUACUGCCAAACUGGAGGGUGAGAGAGGAAAGCGGAAUUCCUAGUGUAGAGGUAAAAUUCGUAGAUAUUAGGAGGAACACCGGCGGCGAAGGCGGCUUUCUGGAUCAUACCUGACGCUGAGACGCGAAAGCGUGGGGAGCAAACAGG